rnacentral:lncRNA from 1 species
GUGAGAACGAUUGAAGGCUGAAAUAUCUCAUCCGCAAUGGUAUGUUCAAUGGUCCUACAAUCUUAGAAUUGUAUGAUCUCACAGCUAUUCGACCAACUACUCAACAGCCUUAUAUAUAAGCAACCAAAAUCUCGAAGACCAAGGUAAGUCAAUCAUUCCCUCUCAAAGAACUCGUUGCUCUUCCUGCUGUUCUCUGAAUCUGACUUAGAGCAUUGGAAGAUCCUCGCCAGAGCGAAAACUUUCGAUUUGGAUUUGUUUUAUAGGUCACUCCAAUGUCAGUAUUUCUGCACGAUGCUCAGUCGCAUUCUGUCUGACCUUGAUCAAAUCAAGCA